GAUGAACGCUAGCUACAGGCUUAACACAUGCAAGUCGAGGGGAAACGACAUCGAAAGCUUGCUUUUGAUGGGCGUCGACCGGCGCACGGGUGAGUAACGCGUAUCCACCCUGCCCAUCACUUGGGGAUAACCUUGCGAAAGUAAGACUAAUACCCAAUGAUAUCUCUAGAAGACAUCUGAAAGAGAUUAAAGAUUUAUCGGUGAUGGAUGGGGAUGCGUCUGAUUAGCUUGUUGGCGGGGUAACGGCCCACCAAGGCAACGAUCAGUAGGGGUUCUGAGAGGAAGGGCCCCCACAUGUGAACUGAGACACGGUCCAAACUCCUACGGGAGGCAGCAGUGAGGAAUAUUGGGCAAUGGGCGAGAGCCUGAACCAGCCAAGUAGCGUGCAGGAAGACGGCCCUAUGGGUUGUAAACUGCUUUUAUAAGGGAAUAAAGUGAGAGUCGUGACUCUUUUUGUAUGUACCUUAUGAAUAAGGACCGGCUAAUUCCGUG
rnacentral:rRNA from 1 species